GGUGCAGUGGCCAAGGCGCAAGGUGUUGAUUUUGUAAACCAAAGAGCAUGGGUUCAGAUCCUAUCUAUGCCU